CGCCAUCUUCACCUUGCUGCUCGCAUAAAUCGCUUCAACACAAAAGAUUCAAUUUCAUUCUGAUUUCAAUUUCAAAUUUCGAUCUCAAUUUGUUUCCGAUUUCAAAUUUCCAAUUUCAUUCCGCAUAAAUCGCUUCGCCAUCUUCACCUCAAAUUUCGAUUUCAAGAUUAAGCAAAGCUCGUGUCUUAGUCAAUGGAAUGAAAGGAAACAAUAGCUGAAGUAAAGCUAGCUAUCACUUGUCUAUAUGAGUUGAAAGAAAGACUAUACAAGUUUAAAUUGGAAG